rnacentral:rRNA from 1 species
UGCUUGACUCAAAGAUUAAGCCAUGCAUGUCUAAGUAUAAGCACUUUAUACUGCGAAACUGCGGAUGGCUCAUUAUAUCAGUACCAAUCUAUUUGACGAGAAUUCUACUUGGAUAACUGUAGUAAUUCUAGAGCUAAUACAUGCACGGAGUGCGGACCGCCGUUCCGCCGUCCCCCCGGGGGCGGCGGCGGCGGCGGGAAGCACGUGUUUACUAGACUCAGAACCGACGUGGGGCACUCCAAACCCCGGCGCGGGGGCGCGUCCGCGCGUCCGCGCGUCGGGGGCCCCACCUCCACGGCGAUUCACGGUAACUCGGCACGAAUCGGGGGCCCCCGGGUCCUCGAUGGUGCAAACGAAGUUCUGCCCUAUCAACUUUCGAAGGUAGUGUAGGGGACUACCUUGGUCGUAACGGGUAACGGGGAAUCAGGGUUCGAUUCCGGAGAGGGAGCCUGAGAGACGGCUACCACUUCCAAGGAAGGCAGCAGGCGCGCAAAUUACCCAAUCCCGACACGGGGCAGGUAGUGACAAGAAAUAUUGAUGUAGGACCCUACACGGGUACUAUGUUCGAAAUGAGAACAAUUUAAAAUCCUUAUCGAGGAACAAUUGGAGGGCAAGUCUGGUGCCAGCAGCCGCGGUAAUUCCAGCUCCAAUAGUGUAUAUUAAAGUUGUUGCGGUUAAAAAGCUCGUAGUUGGACCCCGGGUCGUGUGUCGUCCACUUUUACCUUGAAGAAAUUCGAGUGUUUAAAGCAGGCAGCCAUCUGCAUCCGAAGACGUUAGCAUGGGAUAAUGAAAUAGGACUCGUCCUUUACCUUCGUUGGUUCUGGAGGAACGGGUAAUGAUCGACAGGGACAGUCGGGGUCGGUGGUACUGAGCGGCUAGAGGUGAAAUUCUAUGACCCGCUCAAGACCGACAACAGCGAAAGCAUUCGACAAGGAUGUUUUCAUUGAUCAAGAACGAAAGUUGAGGGCGCGAAGAUGAUCAGAUACCGUCGUAGUCUCAACCGUAAACGAUGUCGACUCGGGAUCGGGGGGCGUUACAUGGAUGACCCCCCCGGCACCGUGUGAGAAAUCACAAGUAACCAGACUCCGGGGGGAGUAUGGUCGCAAGGCUGAAACUUAAAGGAAUUGACGGAAGGGCACCACCAGGAGUGGAGUCUGUGGCUUAAUUUGACUCAACACGGGGAAACUUACCAAGUCCGAACACGACGAGGAUUGACAGAUUAAUAGCUCUUUCUUGAUUUCGUGGAGAGUGGUGCAUGGCCGUUUUUAGUUGGUGGAGUGAUCUGUCUGGUUAAUUCCGUUAACGAACGAGACCUUAACCUGCUAAAUAGGGGUUUUCGGCCCGCCUUCUUAAAGGGACCAUUCGAUCGAACGAACGGAAGUUUAAGGCAAAAACAGGUCUGUGAUGCCCUCAGAUGUUUUGGGCUGCACACGCAUUACACUGUCGCGCGCAACGAGUCGCAAAAAGACCCGAACCCGGAGGGGUGGGGUAAGCUUCGAAUGCGCGACGUGAUGGGGAUCGUGCUUUGCAAUUAUCGCACGCGAACGAGGAAUUCCUAGUAGGCGCGAGUCAUCAACUCGCGCCGAUUACGUCCCUGCCCUUUGUACAGACCGCCCGUCGCUCCUACCGAUUGAACGGCCCGAUGAGAACCCGGGACGGAGGGGGCGUCCGGGCGGCGCGGCCCCGCGUCGCGUCGCCCGGUCCGCCCGUCGGCCGGAACCCGUUCAAAUCUUGUCGUUUAGAGGAAGGAGAAGUCGUAACAAGGU